AUCCAAUGUAGCCACGGAGGAAUCAUGAGUAUAUGAUUGUAGAUUCGUUGCUGCCUCGUUGACGUUAGCUCCCAUCUGUUUCACGGUGAAUGUAUACAGAACGAAAAUGGAAUUUGUUUUAUUUCAUGAAAAGUAAACAGAACUGUGCUGCAGCAUGAAUUUCGAAUAAAUUAUGUUUGAAUUUGUCAUCAUUAUUCGUUGAUUUGAAGUAAAAUUUAAAAAAAAUGAGUAACUUUGACUGUUCAAUAUUUGAUGUUGCUGAUGUAACAUCAUAUCUAAUAGCACUUGUAUUUUGUUGUACAAAAUUUCGUGUGACAGAAAACGAUUUCGGCUGUCUCGGGGGUAUUUUUCUUUUCAGAGUAUUUAUCGGUUUCAUGAUGAGUACAGCAGAAUUCUUAGCAGAACUUUUAACUUUCCGCAAUGAAACAAAUCAAACAUUCCUUGAUGCUUACCACGAUGGAUUAAUUUCUGCACAUCUUUUUCAUUGUUAUAUUUUAUUUAUAGUUAUAAAUGGUCUUAUAUUUUUGGCUAUGCUGUUUUUUUGUUGGAAAUUUUCUAAACUUUGUAAAAACUCUACUGGAUAUUGGAGAAUGAUUUAUAUCUUUAAAAUCCCAAUGUUUAUGCUGGAUGUGACAAUGUUUUUGUUUUGUUUAUUACUAACAUUUUUUUAUGGGGGUGAACUUAUUGAAAUUCCUGCAUCUUCUAUACCUAAAACAGUCGUUAGUAUUAUCUUCCUGAUAAAGUGUGUUGAUCUUAUUUUAGAUUUACUCUUUAUCAUCAAGGAUUUUUUAUCAUGUGUUGGGUGUUGUGGCUAGAGUAAAAACGAAAAUCCAGAUAAACUUUAAGGAUGUUCGCUUCUCUUGUUUUGGAAUUUCUGCCAGAUAUUCGGAAUAUUUUUACAUAUAGUUUUAAAAGCCAUAUUCGAAAAUCCUAUGAAAUCCUUGUUAUUUUUUCAUAGAUUUUGAAAGAAAAAAGUUGCCAAUUUUAAAUGUAUGAAAAAUCUAGAGAGAAUCAUAUCACGCCAAAUUUUCAAUGGCUUAUAUCUCGAAAACAAGCACACGAACCCUUCUUUUUUCUGCUUUUUUUAGUUUCUUUAUUUGUAAACUAUCAAUUUGAAAUAGUGUUUUAAAAAGCUUGUUAUUUUGAAACAGAGUAGCAAACACCCUUAAACAUUUAUUUUCUUACUUUUUUUAAAACAUUUUAAAACGAAAUUGGCAUUUACAAACUCAGGAUUUCACAUUUGAUUAAAACCCAAUGAUGCAAAAUUCGAAUGUUAUCAAACCUGAAUAUUUCAAAGCUUUUUGACAAUGGAGAGAAAUGGUUAACAGGAUAUAUCGUAUUGUUUGUAAGUACAAUUGGUGACGUUAACAAGUUUUGAAUAACUAACAUGAUUUUUAUUUAUUUCAUAACGUGCUUUAUAAAAAAUUUUGUUAUCUUGGCAGCACACUUAUAUUGCAAAUAAUGGUUUUUACGAAGUGAUAAUCUAUUGAACUUAUAUUUCUGUUCCUUUUUUGAUUGAUGUUCUCACGUUAAUUGUGUUUAAUUUGUUUUAGCACAAGUACAUCUAGAUUUGAACUUUUUGAAAAUAUUGCAAAAUUCUCAGUAUUUCAAGGCUAAUAAUAAGCAUAGCAUGACAUGGUGUUAAUGUGUAAUUGUUUCAAUUGUUAUUUAUCACUUGACAGUUCUUGACUUUAAGUAAGACAUGCGAUAUGAUAUGAGAAGAAAAGGGAACCAAAAAUUAAGGAGAGUAAUGCUUUUUACCGUUUAAAAGAUGCUUUAUAAAGAUUUGACCCAUAUCCCUUAACGGUUAUUUGUAAUUUGAUUCGUUCAAUUUGUUUGCUGAAUAGUGUAGAAUAGAGAAUGGAAACGGGGAGCGGGCUUCAGCUGGCCCCUAAACAAUCAUGGGUUUUCUUUUCCAAAACUGUUUACUCUAAAUAUCGGCGCUGAUGAAGGUGUAACGAUAAGUUUAUUAAAAUCAUCAUGUUUAGAUCGAUUAUAUUGUCUUGCUUAUACACUUAAACACUAACUUAUAGUGAACUUCACAUUAGGGGAAUCCCAAAAAGGUUCACAUAAUUCAACUGUUUAAAUAAUUCAAAGAUCGGAUGAUUAUUUACCUAUUAACAUUACAAUAUGAUAAAUUAAAUCACAAAUAAUGUUUAUUUUAUACAGAAUUAACACAAAGGCUUUUUGUCACUAAAUGAUUUCUUUUUAAAUGAUCGGAUUCUUCAUGCAUUCUUGUAUCAGCAACUGUUUUACACUUUAAAUGUAUUUUAAAAUCGACCAAAUGAUUUAUUCUAGUAAUUUGAAAGUUUUUAAAGGUAUUAUAUACUUUCAUGACAUGAAAAUGUGCUUACUUGCAAAAAGAAAAUAAACAAGUAAUUGUAAAUACUGGAAACAGGGGCGUUUUUUUACAAAUCAAGUAAAUCAAAUGAGGAUAUAAUUAAUACAAAUAUUGAUUUCGUAACCCAGUGAACGUAUCAAGGAUUACAUACAUAUGUUAUUCCUUUUAAGGAAAUCUAUAAUACUCUGUCGAAGAUAUCAUUUUAGACCGUUUCAAACUGUUAUCGAUGCUCAAAUACUUUCUUUGCAUGCCAUUUAACAGAAAAUCAGUAUUUUGACACAGGAAGGGUCAAUGUAUCACAUUGUUUCAUACCACGAACAUUUCUUUGAAAUGUUUUGGGUUAUUUUUUUUUUCUUCUCCAAAUUGAAAAAUUUGAGCAAAGUCUCAUGUUUGUACUAAUUCAUUCAAAUAGUAAAUGAUUAAUGACGCAAAAAGCUGACAUUUUGAUUGAUUUUGACAAAUAUUUACUAGUUGUAUUUUACUUUAAAAUGAAAAAGGAGUAUAGUAUUACCUUAUUCGGAAUUCUAUUGAAUGUAAAGCUGUGCAUUGGCAUUCAGACGAAAUUAAAGGUUUGUUCAUCGACGUCUUUCGAUUUAAAAUUUUACAAAUCAUUUACAAUACCAAUACCUUUGUUAAGAAAUGCCUUUUAACAAUGAUGUGUAAAUUUAUUAUGAAUGUUACGUGAAUAUGCAAGGAGAGAUCCAAUAUAAAUGUGUUAUUGUCAUGUGAUAGAUACAUUUUCUGUCAUACUGUCAUAUUUCUUUGGGGCAAAAAGAUAUUUUCAUCGCGAAUUCAGCUCCGCAUCGAUGAGUUAUAUAGUCGAGCUUUUGGUUUUCCGGGUUGGAAUCAAGUAAAGGUUGUUAAAAAGAACAUAUAGAAAAAAUAUUUUGCACUUCUUUUCUACAUUGUAUUAUCCGAAAUACGAUAUGAUAAAUUUUAUUGCAUAAAACUAUCCUCAUAGCAUAUUUGACUUCAUUCUUAGGACAUUUUUUAAUAUUACAUACUGAUGUUUUUUAGUUUACUUUUAAUGCACUUUUGUUGAUUAAGGACAUUUUCUCGCGUAUGAUUUGUAUGUAGUGUAUAGCUUAUGAUUUUUCUUUUAAAUAGAAAAAAUUCACAAUCUGCUUUUGUCUGUUUAUUAUAUAAUUACAUUUUUUAUUUGAUUCAUCAGAAAGGCAUAUUUAAGGAGAAGUAUAUAUUUUAAAGAUAGCUUCUUCACUUUAUAUGAUUUCUAUUCAACGGUUUGUGAAAAAAAGAGGGCAUAAAGGCAAGACAUGUAAAUAGUUAAUUUUACGUCGACGACGGAAUUCCAUUCUUUAUAUUAGUUUAAAUAGUAUAUUCUUUAUUCCACAUUUUACAUACCUUUGAAGAACCCCUUGAGUAAAAACAAAAAAAAAUGUUCGAUGGGUAAGUUACAUUUGGAUAGUAAUAGUUAUCUUUUAAACAUAAAGAGAAUGUAUAUUAAUUCAUUAUUAAUUAUAAUUUUUGCCUUCUGGAUUUUAUAUAAAUAUGGCACACUAAAUGUAUUCAUGCAUAACAAUGUAGAAAUUAUUAUUUGUUUUUGUUUGCUCUAUUUGAAGAAUCCAUGAAUGGGUUGUUGUAGGUUGAAGGAGGAUGACAUACAGGCAAGUAAUACUAAAUGUAAAUGUCGACGACUGAAAUCUAUUCUUUUUAUAACUAAAUUAAUAUCUACUUUCCUCCACAUUUUUAAAUAUCCUUUUGACAAGCGCCAUGGUUACUGAUAUAAUCUAGAUUUUGAUUGGUUACCUACAUUUGGAUGUUACCUAAAUAAUUUAUAAGACAGAAAGAUGAUCGAUAUAAUUUUCAAUCAUUCAGAUAGUUCGGCUUUUUACAUUUUAUAAAUACUUCUGAAAUUAAAUUUAUUCAACUAUUACGAUUUAAAUUGUUUCCAGAAAAUUGUUGCAUGAUUUAGUUUGUUGUUCGUUUAUUCAAUCAAUGAUCUGACUGUUGUACAAAAGUCAAUCUGAAUUUGCCAUUUAUUUUGUAAAAAAUUUAUGAUUUUAUGCAUCUGUUUUACAAUAAUUUCUUCUUUAUUAUCUAUAAAACAAGUCGGACAAAUUACAUGUUAUUGAACAAGAUAUUUGAUAGUGUUUGACCAUAUUCUUGGUCAACCUUUUAUGUUACAUCAUUGUGUUUUCGAAUAUUAUUGUAUUUUACUGAUGUUAAUUAAGUACACUUUUAUUUAUCGUUACUAAAAUAUUGAAUACUUGCUUCCAAUUGAAGGAAAUGCCUGUACCAAGUCAGGAAUAUGACAGUUGUUUUCCAUUUGUUUGAUGUGUUUGAGCUUUUGUUUUUAUUAUUUGAUAAGAGACUUUCUGAUUUGAAUUUCCCUUGGAAUUCGGUAUUUUUGUUAUUUUACUUUUCCACAUUUUUACUCAGAUAGGCUCCUUGGUUAAACAUAUUUUAAAGUAUUUUGAUUGGUAAGUUAUAUUUAUGUAGUACCAAAAAUUCGGUUUCCUUUUUCAUUUUUUCAUCCUCCUUCCAUAUUAUCUUCACAUAACAAAUUUUCUUGUGUGUAGAGAUCAUGUUCUCAAUUCCAUAAUAAUUAUCUUGCUUCUGUAACGAAAUUGUUACAUAUCAAACUCUCAUUUAGCUUUAGUAUGAUUUAUGCCGUUGUUGUCCUUACCAAUAACCUUAAUUUAUAUUAAUAAUGUUUAUUUACUCAUAUUUGACUAUAUUUCAGGCUAAACUUUUCUCUGGUAUAAUGGGAUUUGCCAGCGUUAUUGUUGUGUAAAUAACUUAUGUUAAUUAAGGGAAUGUUUGACUAAUAAAUUUUAUGUACAAAGUAAAACGAUUGUUAUCCUUCCUGAUUUGACAAUUUAACUUUAAUAAAGUAAAAAUUCACAAUCUUA